rnacentral:snRNA from 1 species
UUUACUUUUGGUGAUUUGCAAGA